GCAUCGGUUGUUCAGUGGUAGAAUGCUCGCCUGCCACGCGGGCGGCCCGGGUUCGAUUCCCAGCCGAUGAU
rnacentral:tRNA from 1 species